UACGUAGGUGGCAAGCGUUGUUCGGAAUUAUUGGGCGUAAAGGGCGCGUAGGCGGUUUGUUAAGUCGGCUGUGAAAGCCCGGGGCUCAACCCCGGAGGGUCAGCCGAUACUGGCAGGCUAGAGUACAGAAGAGGUAACUGGAAUUCCCGGUGUAGCGGUGAAAUGCGUAGAGAUGUGGAGGAACACCAGUGGCGAAGGCGGCUUUCUGGUCUGUAACUGACGCUGAGGCGCGAAAGCGUGGGGAGCAAACAGG
rnacentral:rRNA from 1 species